AUUCUUUUGUGGUUCAUAAAUGUGGUUCAUACAUGUUUUUGUGACAUGUUCCUCCUUCCCCCAAACCUUGUUAUAACAUUGGCAUAUUACCCAUCUGACG
ensembl:snoRNA